UAUCUCUGUAGAGUCUGCAUAUCAAUAAGCGGAGGAAAAGAAACUAACAAGGAUUCCCUUAGUAACGGCGAGUGAAGCGGGAAGAGCUCAAAUUUGAAAUCUUCAAGGUUCUAUCUUGACGAAUUGUAGUUUAAAGAAGUGUUUUCUGUUAGAUGAGUAGCAAAAGUUCCUUGGAAUGGGACAUCAUAGAGGGUGAGAAUCCCGUAUUUGGUUAUUCAUUCUAGCUUUGUGAUACACUUUCAUAAGAGUCGGAUUGUUUGGGAAUGCAGUCCAAAAUGGGUGGUAAAUUUCAUCUAAAGCUAAAUAUUGGCGAGAGACCGAUAGCGAACAAGUACCGUGAGGGAAAGAUGAAAAGAACUUUGAAAAGAGAGUUAAACAGUACGUGAAAUUGUCAAAAGGGAAGCGUUUGACACCAGUGUUGUUUUUCCGAAAAUCAAUUACGAAUGGCUUGAUUUUGUGUUGUAUUGACCUUAUCAGCUUUCUGCACUUUUUUCGAGUCUUUCUUAAUGCACUUUUUGGUUAACAAGUCAACAUCAAUUUCUUUUGUUGUAAAAGAGUAUUCGGAAGGUGGCUUUCUUUUCGGAGAAAGUGUUUAUAGCCCUAUACUUCUACGAUCGGAGAGAUUGAGGUCUGCAGCGUAGAUCCUUCGGGGUUAGAUACACUUGUGCUAAGUUGUAGCUUUUCAUAGACAACUUGUUGACUAUGUUUAGUCAUGCGGCUUACUCGCUUAUGCUAUUUUACCUACGCUUAGGAUGUUGACUGAUAUGUAGUCGU
rnacentral:rRNA from 1 species